rnacentral:tRNA from 1 species
GCCUGAGUGGCUCAGUCGGUUAAGCAUCUGACUCUUGAUAUUGGCUCAGGUCAUGAUGUCACAGUUGUGGGAUCGAACCCCAUGUCAGGCU